GACAGAGGGUGCAAACGUUGUUCGGAAUUACUGGGCGUAAAGCGUGCGCAGGCGGCCUUGCAAGUCGGGCGUGAAAUCCCACGGCUCAACCGUGGAAGUGCACUCGAAACUGCUUGGCUAGAGUCUUGGAGAGGAAGGCGGAAUGCUUGGUGUAGAGGUGAAAUUCGUAGAUAUCAAGCGGAACACCUGCGGCGAAGGCGGGUUGCUGGGCUGACACUGACGCUGAUGCGCGAAAGCCAGGGGAGCGAACGGG
rnacentral:rRNA from 1 species